rnacentral:rRNA from 1 species
ACUAUUGUCACGGGUUACCGCGGCUGCUGGCACGGAGUUAGCCGGUGCUUCUUCUGUGAGUGAUGUCCUUCCUGCCGGUUAUUGACCCGCAGGCCUUCUUCCUCACUGAAAGUGCUUUACAACCCGAAGGCCUUCUUCACACACGCGGCAUGGCUGGAUCAGGGUUGCCCCCAUUGUCCAAUAUUCCCCACUGCUGCCUCCCGUAGGAGUCUGGGCCGUGUCUCAGUCCCAGUGUGGCUGAUCAUCCUCUCAGACCAGCUACGGAUCGUCGCCUUGGUGAGCCGUUACCUCACCAACCAGCUAAUCCGACAUAGGCUCAUCCGAUA